UCACCACCAUAAACAACGUUUUGGUACGCCGGAAAUAGGUGCUGGGGUUCUCGGACAAGUUCUCCACCGACACCGCUGCUCUCCUCAUCUCGGCGACUUUUCGCAGAGGCCUCUUCCUUUAAAGACCGGCACCCGCAGCCGACUCUGAGCGCCCGCCUCCGGGGCGUGGCAACAGCACCGUAUCUCCAGACACCGUUUGCAUCACAACGAGUGGGCAGCACCAUUCUUUCGUCAAACAGGCCUCAGAAACAGAUCAUGGUUUAGCUUUUGGAGAAGGGCUGUAGUUCGGUGGUAGUGCAUCUGCCUUGCGUGCAGAAGGUCCAAGAUUCAAUCCCCAGCUUCACCAGCAUUCCACCCUGCAAUCAAAAAGAUGACUGUACACGUGGACAUCACCAAAUGGUCAAUAUAGGAAUCAAAUUGAUUAUAUAAUUCACAGCAGAAGAUGGAGAAGUUCCAUACUUUCUGGAAAAAAACAAGACCAGGAGCAGACUGCAGUACAGAUCAUGAACUGGUCAUAUUGAAAAUCAGAGUAAAGCUAAAGAAGAAGAACAAAGCAAUCAUAAUGCCAAAAUACAAUUAUAACAUCCCAGAAGAAUAUAAAGAUCAAAUAAGGAACAGAUUUGAGGCUUUAUACUUAGUUGAUAGAGAACCAGAAGAACUAUGGAUUGAAGUCAGAGACAUUACCAGGGAAGAAUGCAAAAAGACAAUACCUCUAGUUUAAAAGAAAGACCUCAAUGGAUGACUAAAGAAACUCUUUAAAUUGUUAAAGAGAGAAGGAAAGCAAAAGCAAAAGGAGACAGAAACACAGUUAGAACCCUAAAUGCAACAAUACAGCGAUUAGUACAUAGGGACAAAGAGAACUAUUACAAUAUUUAUUGUAUGGAAAUAGAAGAGGACAACAAACAAGGUAGAGCACACUGACUGACUGAGAUAAAAUAAAAGGAAGAUGGAAGCAAUACACUGAAGAACCAUAUGAAACAGAUACAAGGAUGACAGAUUCAUUCAUGGAGGAACCAUAUGAUAAAAAAACCAGAAAUGAUAAAAUGUGAGGUGAAAGCUGCUCUUAAAAUACUUGGAAGAAACAAAUCACCAGGAACCGAUGGCAUACCAGUAGAGUUGCUACAAAUUACUGAGACAAGCUGUUCAAAGUUUGAAAAAAAAAUUUCAACAAAUAUGGAAAACAAAAAAAUGGCCAACAGACUGGAAGCAUUCAAUAUACAUCCCAAUUCCAAAGAAAGGUUAUCCCAGGGAAUGCAGUAACUAUCAAACUAUUGCCUUAAUAUCCCAUGCAAUUAAAGUAAUGCUCAAGAUACUACAACAAAGGCUCUUACCAUAUAUGGAGCGAGAAAUGCCAGAUGUCGAAGCUGGAUUUAGAAAGGGAAGAGGCACCAGAGAUCAUAUCGUAAACAUAUGUUGGAUAAUGGAAUGGACCAAGGAAUUUCAGAAGGAAAUCACCCUGUGCUUUAUAGAUUACAGCAAAGCCUUUGACUGUGUAGAUCAUGAAAAACUAUGGAAUGCUUUAAAAGAAAUGGGGGUGCACAGCAUCUGAUUGUUCUGAUGCACAACCUAUACUCUGGACAAAAGGCUACUGUAAGGACAGAAUAUGGAGAAACCGAUUGGUUCCCAAUCACAAAGAGUUUGAGACGGGUGUAUUUUAUCACCUAUUUGCAGAGCUUGGAAAGUUACUUUUUUUGAACUACAACUCCCAUCAGCCCCAGCCAGCAUGGCCACUGGAUUGGGCUGAUGGGAGUUUUAGUUCAAAAAAGUAACUUUUCAAAGCUCCGCCUAUUUGUUUAAUCUAUAUGCAGAACAUAUCAUACGGAAAGUCGGAUUGGACCAAGAUGAAGGAAGCAUGAAAACUGGAGGGAGAAAUAUCAAUAAUUUAAGAUAUGCGAACGAUACCAUACUACUAGCAGAAACCAGUAAUGAUUUGAAAUGAAUGCUGAUGAACGUGAAAGAGGAAAGCACAAAAGCAGGACUACAACUGAACAUCAAGAAGAUUAAACUAAUGACAACAAAAGAUUUAUGUAACUUUAAAGUUGACAACGAGGACAUUGUACUUAUCAAGGAUUAUCAAUACCUCGGCACAGUCAUUAACCAAAAUGGAGACAAUAAUCAAGAAAUCAAAAGAAGGCUGGGACUGGGGAGGGCACUAUGAGAGAACUAGAAAAGUUCCUCAGAUGCAAAGAUGUAUCACUGAACACUAAAGUCAGGAUCAUUCAGACCAUGGUAUUCACAAUCUCUAUGUAUGGAUGUGAAAGUUAGACAGUGAAAAAAGCGGGUAAGAGAAAAAAUGUGGUGUUGCAGGAGAGGUUUGCACAUACCAUGGACCAUGAAAAAGACAAAUAAUUGGGUGUUAGAAGAAAUUAAACCAGAACUAUCACUAGAAGCUAAAAUGAUGGAACUGAAGCUGUCAUACUUUGGACACAUAAUGAGAAGACAGGAUUCACUAGAAAAGACAAUAAUGCUGGGAAGAAGAGAAGGGAGUAGAAAAAGAGGAAUACCAAACUGUUGGAAAUGGGGCAAGAGCAACUCCUCUUUUGUUUAUGUUCCAGAAGAGAGAUAGAGCUAGGGUCCUUCAGAUGGAUAGGCUUGUUUACCUUUACCUGCGAUGCUCUGACUUCCUUCUGUCGCUAGACGGUUACAUCUUUUAGGGAAGUUUACCUGCCCCUUCUCCUUCUGCCCUCUCUCUUCCUUUCUUCUCUGACUGUCUGGGAGAGAGGAGACAUCCUUUUGUCUCUGCUCUCUCUCCUAGCCAUGGGGCUAACUCCCACACCUGGGCAUUACGCCUCCAACUUAGAUAGUUAGAACUAGGUUUGCCUUUCUAUCUACUAUGUAUUUCUAUAAAUAAAGUAGCUUUUCUUAUUUUA